rnacentral:rRNA from 1 species
UACGUAGGGUGCAAGCGUUGUCCGGAAUUAUUGGGCGUAAAGAGCUCGUAGGCGGUCUGUCGCGUCUGCUGUGAAAACUCAGGGCUUAACCCUGAGCUUGCAGUGGGUACGGGCAGACUAGAGUGCGGUAGGGGAGAAUGGAAUUCCUGGUGUAGCGGUGAAAUGCGCAGAUAUCAGGAGGAACACCGGUGGCGAAGGCGGUUCUCUGGGCCUUACCUGACACUGAGGAGCGAAAGCGUGGGGAGCGAACAGG